AAAACCUGUUAAAUCAAACUUAGCAUAUUUUCGUAUAGUCUUGUCUAAAUUUUGAUCAGUAUUACAGAGUGAGUAUGAAUUCUUGUGUAAAUUUAUAAUUUGCUGACAAGUUGAAAGUACAGAAUAUAUGUGGUGACAAACCGGUGACGACCGGGUGAUCUAAAUCAUUGAUGAGAUAUCAGUAGGGGGUCAGCACAGUCUGAUAGCUUUCAAUGAUGAGAGAUCACUUUAAGGACUAGGAUAGUCUCGAUAGGGAUCAGGAAUAGAGAUCAGUAGGGGAUAGUUAACUACUAUUCAUUAAACCUGGCGCCGAGGGGGACAAAUUGUAAUUUUGUCCUGUGGCCCGGUCUAGGCCAGUCUGAUAAGAGAUUCUCUGAUAAGGAUCGGACAUGUGUAAUAAACUCUGAUAGGGUUCAGCUCGAUAUGGAUCAGGAAUAGAGAUCAGUAGGGGAUAGUUAACUACUAUUCAUUAAACCUGGCGCCGAGGGGGACAAAUUGUAAUUUUGUCCUGCGGCCCGGUCUAGGCCAGUCUGAUAAGAGAUUCGCUGAUAAGGAUCGGCUUUCAGGGGUCAGAGAUAUAACGUGUUGUUUUGUCUUGUUUUGUCUAUUUGUAACUGUUUAUAUUAAAAUGCAAUGUGCUUGUAAUUGUUUCCAUUAAGAUUGUUGGUGGUUAGAUAGAGAGAGAGAGAGAGAAUUCAAUAAGGGUUAUUUGAUAAAUCCGAAUCUUCUAUGUUGUAUGUACCUAUGACUUCUGUGUUAAAUGUAUAAUCAGGAACAAAAUGACUGAUGUAUAAUUGAAAUAAGAUCUGAGCACAAUAUUCAAUAUCAAGACUAAAUAGUCGAAUUGAUCUCUAUACAAACCCAUGCGUUUUUUCUCAAACUGAAUAUACGAGGGAGCAGCUCUGAGAUAAGGCAGAGUACGUGGCUCCAGGAAUUCAUCACGGGUAUUUACCAGUGACGGGCUAAGUAUACUCAGAUAGUCUGAAUAUAUAUUUCAAUUGGUCAAAAUAUACAUAUAUAUUUACUAAAAUAUACAAUAAAUGACAAAUGGUGACCCCGACGUGGUCUGGUAAAAGGACAUCGCUGGACAUUGGUGUGCCAGCCGAUUGGCCAGUACUGUCGUCGGACGGUGUGUCUCACAAAUCUUGACCGGUCAAAUAAAAAGGGUAAGCAGACACCUGUUGUGAAAAACUAAAGUUCUGCACAUUGGAGUUAUCCAAAUGUAGUUUUGUGAGAUACCUGUUUGAUGUAAGUUACUAAAUUUAAACUACAAUGAUGUGUGAGAUUGGAAAAUAGUUGAGAAAGUAAUAUCUCCAUUGGCAACUGCAAUUUUAUUAUUGAUCAACCAUACUUAAUGGUGCAUUGUGUAUGGGAUGUACUAGUAUGCCUGGCUGGUAGGUGGUAACAGAGAACACUUACUACAUGUAUGAAUGAUGGGUAACGGGUGGCCACCAAAGCUUGAAUGGAUAGUCUGGGACUACAUGUAUGAGUGAUCACCAACUAAUUGGGGGCCGAUUUAGCCGUAGGGAAAGGGUAUCACUUGGGUUUCAGUAAAGGCAUGGGUUGUUGGCAGUAUUGUAGUGUACAUGGAAUGUCGUUGGAAAUGGAAAAGGUGUUGAGAGCGCUGAAGUCCACUCUAGGAUUAAAUAAAGGCAGAGAGGGCAAGGAGUGGAGGAGACGGGGUGAGAAGCUGUACAGAGAAUGGACAAAAGGUGGGGCUAUUGCAUCUCCUACUGGUCUGCUUGCUGGGGAGAAUGAAGAUUUGUAUGUGGAAGAUUUGUGGAGCUGGUACCGGUGAGAAUGUUGAAAAAGUCGCAGGCUUGCUGAUGAGAGUUAUAUCAUAGAAUAUUGGGGGGUGUGCAUGACUGUUGGAAAAGGUGUUAAACUCUAUUAACGUAAAAUUCUGUGUGUAGAGUUAUAUUAUGAGGUUUGAACUAUACUAAUAUUGUAGAAUUACAUAAUCAACAUCUGAACAUACUUACGAUAAACAUUAAUUGAGCCACUGAGUAAUAGAUAAGAUAUACACUAGGUAAGGGGCGACGGGCGUGGUCGAUGUAAGACGGGAGUGGUGUUCUAACCAAGUGCUGAGAAAUAAGGAUUUUAUGCAUUACAGGUGAACUACAGGUGAAGUCACUCAAUCCAGUCCCAGAGGCUUGGGGACCAUAGAUGACCCCUGGUGACAGCUAGCUGAAAGAGCUACCCAGAUUCAUAUCGCACGGCGGAAGGUUAAGAAACAUUUUUUCACUGUCGGACAUUAAAACAGUGUUCGAGAGAAGAACUGGAAUUAACAGAAUUCCGGGGGCCAACUCUCGAAUGAAGUAACCCUACCUGUCCUAUCACCCCUGUUUUUGUUCAUAGAAGUGAGGAUGUGUCUGGCUCUGGCUAAGUGAUGUGUAUUUUGUUCCAAAAUGAGCAUAAGAGAUCCCUAGAUCGGGGUAGACAAGAAGUUAGAGUAGAGAUUACAUGAUAACCGACUUCGGACAGUUCUAGGAUUGGAGAAGAGGGUAUCCUUAUAGCAAGGGGGAUCCCACAAGGGUGGAUAGGUUUUCCAUGAUAUGGGGAAACCUGGGAGCAAUGUUGAACUUUGUAAAGGUGAUGAAAUCCUACUAACCAUCAAAACUAUUAAGCUCUCUGAUGCAGGCACUCACACCCUCGGACUACAAAGGACGAGGACAGACAUGAUGGGUGUGUUUUCUAUUAAGGUACUGCCAAGACCAGAGGUCUACCACCACUGUGUUAAAAAUACCAUUCAGGUAAUUAAUGUUAGAGACUAUUCGGAUAUUGAUCAAUUAGGAACUGAGACUGGUUUUGAUAGUAGGGACAAUUUGUGGCUGUCUUAUAUGAGGUACACAGCUAAAACCCUGAGAGGAAAGGACUGCAUUAUUUGUAGUCAUGCUAGACCUGUUCUGGCUACACACCCAUUUGCUGUAGGAGAAGGAGAGGGGUGGUUGUGUAUUCUGAGAAGUUUUUACCAGGUUAAGCCCAAUUCAACCCUCUGUUCCUCUUUGAGCCUUGUGUUUCCUGCAGUACCUCCUCAUCGGGCCUCUUGGGGUGUUGAGGCAUAUGGGGGCAAUUAAGAGUGCAUCACGGGUACAGGUAAUGGCAUUGAUUAUGGGGGAUUGCCUGAAGCUGAUUGCAGUAGUAACAUAACCAUUAAUUCCACUUGGCCAGUUACAGGCUGAUGUGAGGUGGAUGAGUGGAGCCAAGAGUGCUGAGACCCAUUCUUAGAGGAGAAUGGCAAGGUACGUGUGCUCUGACCAGUUUGAUAAUUCCACUGACCAUUGUUGAUGUUACUGCUGAACAGCUGUUGGGUUCUGUAUCCAAGGGACCUGAAAACAUUCCAUCCCAUGGGAGACAUAGACGUAGCGCUCAGAGAAUGUAGUUGACAUAAACACUAACCUGUUGGGUGUGCCAGUGGGGUUCCUCAUGAGUUUCAGGCCUUGGGUAGGAAUGAUGGACUCUGGCACUUACUACCUACUAUGGGUCCAGCCAUGGUGGAUGCUAGACAGACUGCAUGGAUUAAUUAUAUCUACUAUAAUCAACAGCGGUUUGUGAAUUACUCCCGUGAUGCACUCACUGGUAUGUCUGAACAGCUUGAGGCCACAUUUGGGGUUUCCAGACAGAAUAGACUUGCCUUGGAUAUGCUUCUUGCCAGUCAGGGGGACGUUUGCAAGAUGUUCGGUAAACAAUGUUGCACGUAUAUUCCUAAUAAUACCAGUCCAGAUGAUAUCUAGGGCGGGCUUGAUGCACUGCAUCUGAUAAGAUGAGGUCCACGGGGGGGGGUGGAGGAGUCUGUUCUCUUGGCCUGGUUUGGUAAGUACACUGAUAUGAUGGUUACUGGAUUUCUGACCCUAAUUCUUGUAUUAUUUGUUAUUGAUGUGAUGUGCUGCUUGCAUCAUACCGUGUUCUAAGAAAUAUGUUACAGAUAUGGUGAAGGCUUCAGGCAUGUUGCCUUUGCUUGAUGCUCCAGUUGGAGAUGCCGAUACGGAAGAAUGCUUUCAGGAGAGGAUGGGACUGACUGAGGAUGACCCAUGGUAUGCUGUGGGUGAGGUAGUAGAAUAAUUUUACACCACCACAGUUCCUUGUUAUAAAUUUUUAUGAUAGGUUUUCUUUCCAGUAUGUUUGUUCUCCCUGUUGUAAAGGUUUAGAGUCCCUGGGUGGCAAGGAGCCCACCUGAUACAGGAUAGAAGUAGCUGAGAGGACCAGAUGGUUUCUAAUAAUUCUUUCCUCUGUUUUCCAUGACCAAAGUUUUAUCCUACAUCUUACAUGUCAAUAACAAUAAAGUUUUAUCCUGUUUUUGAUAAGUGACACCCUUGUGGGUGUCAAAAGGGGGAAACGCAUAUAACAAUAGACAUAUAUCACUUGUUAUUAAUAAUAAACUUUUUAUUAUUUUCAUGAAAUGCUAUGACUGCUGAAAUAAAGGAUAAUGAGUGUCAAAAGGGGGACUUAAAUUUCACACCUUUGGGGUUAUUUUACAUUAUAGCCAUUACCAUAUAUAUUAUCUGCUGUUGCCUUGGGUGGAUGUGUGUAUGUGUUAUGUUCUCUAGCUGAUUUGAAACAUUGUUGAAAGUAUCAGGGCCAUGGAACUUUCUCAUGCUGGGAAAAUACAGAAGGGAGGGCACAUUCAGAGCGUGGGGUUGCGAGAACAAGCAGUCUUUUGUUAGAUAACAGGAGCCAGGUGCGAGAUAACGGUAUGGAGCAUGAGACCCAUCUUUUAGUUUUUGCAGCCAUUUUAGUGUUGUGCGGCUGCGGUUGCAUUCCAUGUAUACGGUCCCUUACUGCUAGAGUUAUCUCCAGAGCUAUUGACCCUUCUUCCCCUUCCCAGAUGUAUCCUCUGCUUGCUAAUGACCUGCCAGAGUUUGAGGAUGAGGUGGAGAAUACCCUUUAGAGAGUGUCACAUCUCUUUGGAGAUGUGAAGAGAGGGUAUCACAACUUUUUCCUGCUGGAAAAGGUUGGCUUAUGUGGACAAACAUUUUACUUAUAGCUUAGAGCUGUUGUUCUCCGCAAUUGUUAAAUGAGGGUUGUAAGUUCCUAGGUGGCUGGUAGCCAACUUAGUACAUAGUGGGAUUGAGUGGAGAACUUGGUGGUAAUACAUAUACAUCCAUUUCUUUUUAAUGUUGUGCCUUUUUAUAGCCCCUUUGGGAAAAGUUUUCUUUUGUAUCAGAAUCUAGUUAGGUUGUGUCACGUCUCUGGGGAGACGUGAAGAGAGGGAUUUGUAGAGGACUGCUAAUUCCUAUGUAGGUGACAUUACAUUACUGCUAAUUCCUAUGUAGGUGACAUUACACUACUAUAGCUGAGACACAUAGUAAAACAGGUUGGGCCCCAUACAGGAUAUCUCUCACACACACACACUCACUGUAAUCAUCCAGAACACUGUCACAACAGAAUACUCCUAGCCACAGGUGCUAGCCGGCAGUUCGGCCACAACUCCCCUGAAGAUAGGGACGCAUACGCUCUUACACACUGACCCCAGAAGACAGGGACGACGCACAUACAGUACACAUAGCUGCCGAGGACACCCAGAUAAGACACCCACAGAUUGGCAGAAAGCCUAGACUUAGAGACAAACUAACACACACACAUAAUCUCCCUCCCAGCCGAACAUUGUGUGACUGAAGAUAGCGCACACACCAGAUCUCCUUUUCAGCUGAACGGGGUGUGACGACCAAGAACAGGCAUGGCAGGAUUCUACGAUGACGGACAGACAACAGAGCCAAUGCCGGAUGACUACACCCCAGCCUGAUCCAAUCCGAAGAUCCGAUCUCCUAGAUAUCAACCCACUUUCUGUUCUGUAUAUGAAGCUUGUACCCAUUGUUAGCUAGGGUCUUUUUUUGCUAGUCUCUGAUGAGCUAACAGAGGGGCCCGUAUAUACGCUGUACCAGAUAUCUCCACUUUGAAAUAAACCUGUCGCUUGUCGUACAAUCUAC